CCCCUCCUUCCUGCAAUGCCACAAGCUAGACGCAUACGUUGUAGCACACUCAAUGUCACAAAACUAGUAAUGGUUUAAAAAUCGUUUUUAGGAAGACUAUUUUCACAAAGGGUAAACUGAGAGAGAACGUUCUCGUCUAAGGGACGGAUACCAAAUGUUUAUAAAAUGUUUGCAGCAUCUAAACUAAACUAUUAUUGCUUUGUUUUCCACAGAGAAGUCUGCUAAAGAACUUCUCAAGUUGACAUCAGCCCUUGUGUGGCAGCAUAUUUGCCCUUGGUAAGUACAAUUAAGCGUUAUUAAAUACAGGUUUAUAAAUAUAUAUGUCAAUGAAGUUUAACUUGGUGUAUGCAAGCAUUUGAAAAAAAAAAGCAUAAUGAUAAAUAUGAAUCAUUGAUUAGCUAUUACAGGUAAACAAGAUUUCUCUAGAAAAAAAAAUAAACAGGAAAUAUUUGGUACUUUCUGCCUAGUGUUGUGAUUAGGGGUGUAACUGAUCACAACCCUCACGGUUUGAAUUGUGUCACUGUUCAGAUCAUUUUUCAGAUCAGUAAAAAGUGAAAAAAAAGCUGAAAAAAUGAGAAAGAAAAGGCUAAAAAUACUAUUUAGAAAAGUCUAAAAAAAA